rnacentral:misc_RNA from 1 species
GAAAAGUAAAAACCUUUCUAUGAACUUAUCAAAAUGAUUAAUACAAUUCUAUGUUGCUUCCACAAUUUUCAACUAAACAUUUACAAACAACAUAUUUAUGUGGGAGUGAAAUAUCACAAGUGUUGCAAGUGAGAAUUUAUUCAGUGCAAUCGUUAUAUAUAUAACAAAUAUAUUUUGAUCAUUGAUUAUGAUUUAGGGAUCCAAAUGAGAUCCACCAUAAUCAAUUGCCAUAAUAAAAUCGUUAUACAUACAACGAUUGUAUUCUAAAAUUUCUCAAAAAAGAAAAAAAAAAGAAAA